CCCUUAGAUGUUCUGGGCCGCACGCGCGCUACACUGACACGUUCAUCAAGUCUAUAACCUUGACCGAGAGGUCUGGGUAAUCUUUUAAAAACGUGUCGUGCUGGGGAUAGAUUAUUGCAAUUAUUAAUCUUCAACGAGGAAUUCCUAGUAAACGCAAGCCAUCAACUUGCAUUGAUUACGUCCCUGCCCUUUGUACACACCGCCCGUCGCUACUACCGAUUGAAUGAUUUAGUGAGUACCAGGGACCGAGCGCUUUGGUUGGGUUUCCUUCCCUAGCGCUUGGGAACUGUCGCAAACUUGACCAUUUAGAGGAAGUAAAAGUCGUAACA
rnacentral:rRNA from 1 species